GAUGAAGAACGCAGCGAAAUGCGAUAAGUAAUGCGAAUUGCAGAAUUCAGUGAAUCAUCGAAUCUUUGAACGCACAUUGCGCCCGCUGGUAUUCCGGCGGGCAUGCCUGUUCGAGCGUCAUUUCAACCCUCAAGCUCUCCGGAGUUUGGUGUUGGGGCGCCUGGGGCUUUUCGACCUCAGGGCCCUCAAGUCCAUCGGCGGGACCGCCAGGACACUGAGCGCAGUAGUAUUAUUUCGCUCGGUAGGAUCUUCCACGGCGGGUCGAUCUGGCCGCUAAACCCCCCAAUUCUCACCAAAGGUUGACCUCGGAUCAGGUAGGAAUACCCGCUGAACUUAAGCAUAUCAAUAAGCGGAGGA
rnacentral:misc_RNA from 1 species